rnacentral:rRNA from 1 species
ACGGGAGGCAGCAGUGAGGAAUAUUGGUCAAUGGAGGCAACUCUGAACCAGCCAUCUCGCGUGAAGGAAUACGGCCCUAUGGGUCUUAAACUUCUUUUAUAGGGGGAUAAAGUGAGGCAUGUAUGCCUUUUUGUAGGUACCCUAUGAAUAAGCAUCGGCUAACUCCGUGCCAGCAGCCGCGGUAAUACGGAGGAUGCGAGCGUUAUCCGGAUUUAUUGGGUUUAAAGGGAGCGCAGGCGGCGCGUCAAGUCAGCGGUAAAAUGUCGGGGCUCAACCCCGGUCGGCCGUUGAAACUGCCGUGCUCGAGUUCGUGCGAGGAGAGCGGAAUGCGUGGUGUAGCGGUGAAAUGCAUAGAUAUCACGCAGAACGCCGAUUGCGAAGGCAGCCCUCCAGCACUGGACUGACGCUGAGGCUCGAAAGCGUGGGUAUCGAACAGGAUUAGAUACCCUGGUA